CAGGACGAACGCUGGCGGCGUGCUUAACACAUGCAAGUCGUGGGGGGGAGUGGGCAACCACAACCUCACCGGCGAACGGGUGCGUAACACGUGAGCAACCUACCGAUUUCUGGGGGAUAGCCGGCCCAACGGCCGGGUAAUACCGCAUACGCUCUUUGAGGGGAGUCCCUUAGAGAGGAAACCUCCGGGGGAAAUCGAGGGGCUCGCGGCCUAUCAGCUUGUUGGCGAGGUAAUGGCUCACCAAGGCUAUGACGGGUAGCUGGUCUGAGAGGAUGGCCAGCCACAUUGGGACUGAGAGACGGCCCAGACUCCUACGGGAGGCAGCAGUGGGGAAUCUUGCGCAAUGACACGAAAGUGUGACGGAGCGACGCCGCGUGUGGGACG
rnacentral:rRNA from 1 species